rnacentral:rRNA from 1 species
UUUGAAUGUUCCCCGCGCGUUUUAGCUAGAUGGUGGGGUAACGGCUCCCCCAUGGCAAUGAUACGUAGCCGACCUGAGAGGGUAAUCGGCCACAUUGGGACUGAGACACGGCCCAAAUUCCUACGGGAGGCAGCAGUAGGGAAUCUUCCACAAUGGACGAAAGUCUGAUGGAGCAACGCCGCGUGAGUGAAGAAGGGUUUCGGCUCGUAAAACUCUGUUGUUAAAGAAGAACAUAUCUGAGAGUAACUGUUCAGGUAUUGACGGUAUUUAACCAGAAAGCCACGGCUAACUACGUGCCAGCAGCCGCGGUAAUACGUAGGUGGCAAGCGUUGUCCGGAUUUAUUGGGCGUAAAGCGAGCGCAGGCGGUUUUUUAAGUCUGAUGUGAAAGCCUUCGGCUCAACCGAAGAAGUGCAUCGGAAACUGGGAAACUUGAGUGCAGAAGAGGACAGUGGAACUCCAUGUGUAGCGGUGAAAUGCGUAGAUAUAUGGAAGAACACCAGUGGCGAAGGCGGCUGUCUGGUCUGUAACUGACGCUGAGGCUCGAAAGUAUGGGUAGCAAACAGGAUUAGAUACCCUGGUAGUCCAUACCGUAAACGAUGAAUGCUAAGUGUUGGAGGGUUUCCGCCCUUCAGUGCUGCAGCUAACGCAUUAAGCAUUCCGCCUGGGGAGUACGGCCGCAAGGCUGAAACUCAAAGGAAUUGACGGGGGCCCGCACAAGCGGUGGAGCAUGUGGUUUAAUUCGAAGCUACGCGAAGAACCUUACCAGGUCUUGACAUACUAUGCAAAUCUAAGAGAUUAGACGUUCCCUUCGGGGACAUGGAUACAGGUGGUGCAUGGUUGUCGUCAGCUCGUGUCGUGAGAUGUUGGGUUAAGUCCCGCAACGAGCGCAACCCUUAUUAUCAGUUGCCAGCAUUAAGUUGGGCACUCUGGUGAGACUGCCGGUGACAAACCGGAGGAAGGUGGGGAUGACGUCAAAUCAUCAUGCCCCUUAUGACCUGGGCUACACACGUGCUACAAUGGAUGGUACAACGAGUUGCGAACUCGCGAGAGUAAGCUAAUCUCUUAAAGCCAUUCUCAGUUCGGAUUGUAGGCUGCAACUCGCCUACAUGAAGUCGGAAUCGCUAGUAAUCGCGGAUCAGCAUGCCGCGGUGAAUACGUUCCCGGGCCUUGUACACACCGCCCGUCACACCAUGAGAGUUUGUAACACCCAAAGUCGGUGGGGUAACCUUUUAGGAACCAGCCGCCUAAGGUGACAGAGAUCGU